rnacentral:ncRNA from 1 species
GGGGGACGACCCUCCGGAAUCGGCUUUCAGGAGCAGGUCUCAAACCAGUCCGAGCUGCUGCGGUAAAGAGCGUGUGUGGUGAGCGCGUCGGAUGAAAAGUUCGGUCGAGAUCCGAGCAGGU